AUAAGAGGGUUUGAUUAGGGAGUACAACUCGGUUCUGAAUACGCGAAAGCGGCAGUUCCUGUCAAAUUAGUUCUUUUCAAAGUAGGAAACAUUGCCCAUAAGUAGCUCUAUUAGCAAGUACUUGGAUUAUCAAUUAAUUACGUGAAUUACAUUCGACCCUGUCUUUAUUAAUUAAUCUUUAUUCAACACUUUACUUUUCAUUGCACACUACAAAACACCUAUUUUGACUGCCUUUGAU
rnacentral:lncRNA from 1 species